AGCGAACGCUGGCGGCAGGCUUAACACAUGCAAGUCGAACGCAUCCUUCGGGGUGAGUGGCAGACGGGUGAGUAACACGUGGGAACGUACCCUUCGAUCUGGGAUAACUUCGGGAAACUGGAGCUAAUACCGGAUACGCCCUUUUGGGGAAAGGUUUACUGUCGAAGGAUCGGCCCGCGUCUGAUUAGCUAGUUGGUGGGGUAACGGCCUACCAAGGCGACGAUCAGUAGCUGGUCUGAGAGGAGGAUCAGCCACACUGGGACUGAGACACGGCCCAGACUCCUACGGGAGGCAGCAGUGGGGAAUAUUGGACAAUGGGCGCAAGCCUGAUCCAGCCAUGCCGCGUGAGUGAUGAAGGCCUUAGGGUUGUAAAGCUCUUUUGUCCGGGACGAUAAUGACGGUACCGGAAGAAUAAGCCCCGGCUAACUUCGUG
rnacentral:rRNA from 1 species